UGUAUGACUCUCGGCAACGGAUAUCUCGGCUCUCGCAUCGAUGAAGAACGUAGCGAAAUGCGAUACCUGGUGUGAAUUGCAGAAUCCCGUGAACCAUCGAGUCUUUGAACGCAAGUUGCGCCCGAGGCCAUCCGGCUAAGGGCACGCCUGCCUGGGCG
rnacentral:rRNA from 1 species